rnacentral:rRNA from 1 species
AGUACUUGUACUUGAUGACGACCGGCGCACGGGUGCGUAACGCGUAUGCAACCUACCUAUCACUGGAGGAUAGCCCGGGGAAACUCGGAUUAAUACUCCAUAGCAUUACCAGAUGGCAUCUGACGGUAAUUAAAGAUUUAUUGGUGAUAGAUGGGCAUGCGUACCAUUAGCUAGUUGGUAAGGUAACGGCUUACCAAGGCUACGAUGGUUAGGGGGCCUGAGAGGGUGAUCCCCCACACUGGUACUGAGAUACGGACCAGACUCCUACGGGAGGCAGCAGUAGGGAAUAUUGGUCAAUGGGCGAGAGCCUGAACCAGCCAUGCCGCGUGCAGGAAGACGGCCUUCUGGGUUGUAAACUGCUUUGACAGGGAAGAAAACGUCUAUGCGUGGAUAAUUGACGGUACCUGUAGAAUAAGCACCGGCUAACUCCGUGCCAGCAGCCGCGGUAAUACGGAGGGUGCAAGCGUUGUCCGGAUUUAUUGGGUUUAAAGGGUGCGUAGGUGGCCCAUUAAGUCAGUGGUGAAAUUCUGCAGCUUAACUGUAGAACUGCCAUUGAUACUGAUGGGCUUGAGUAUUGUUGAGGCAGGCGGAAUUUAUGAUGUAGCGGUGAAAUGCAUAGAUAUCAUAAAGAACACCGAUAGCGAAGGCAGCUUGCUAAGCAGUAACUGACACUAAUGCACGAAAGCGUGGGUAGCGAACAGGAUUAGAUACCCUGGUAGUCCACGCCGUAAACGAUGCUCACUCGAUGUAUGCGAUAUUACUGUAUGCGUCCAAGCGAAAGCGUUAAGUGAGCCACCUGGGGAGUACGCCGGCAACGGUGAAACUCAAAGGAAUUGACGGGGGUCCGCA